UAUUGACGACGAAGACUGUCAACAGCGUGAUCAGGAUUUGGCGAUAGGAUUCCGGAUAGAAAUGGUUAUUUUAAUAAAACAGGACACUUUAAUUAGUAUGCGCUCGCCUUCGUCCCUCAUAGUCCAAAAUGCCGUUAUAAAAUCAUUUGUCUUCCGGAAUUUUUCGCACACCUUUCACGCCGGUGUAUAAAACCAGGCGACAUGUUGUGUUUUGACAUCAGUGUCAAUUCACGAUUUGGUAAUCCAUCUUCAACGACAAAUAAAUGGCUGCCUGUCAAUUCCUGGUGGUCGUCGUCUUAUUCGGUUUCGUCUUUUCCUUGUCAGCAGCAGCGUCGCAGGAGAAAUCCAGCAAAGAAUUGCGAGUAGGUAGUCGAUGCUAUUGGUCGGGAAUGGCCCCAAUUUGUAAUCGAUUCUGUCGGCCGGGAGACCAAGUUGUCGGCAUAUCGACGACAGUUCACGGAAUUCCUUGCCUAGUUGGCCGGGCCAGUUAUUGCUGCCCACGACGUCGCUUGCAUCACCAGCAGCACUUUAAUCAUCUGUAAUCGGUUUACCCCCCUAUCGUAUUGAUUUCUUGUCUACAGUCGACCGUUUGUUUUGUAUAUAACUCGGUUGCUACUUGCCAAUACACGAUAAAGUCUGUCUAUACUAUA